rnacentral:rRNA from 1 species
CCUACGGGUCGCUGCAGUGGGGAAUAUUGCACAAUGGGCGCAAGCCUGAUGCAGCCAUGCCGCGUGUGUGAAGAAGGCCUUAGGGUUGUAAAGCACUUUCAGCGAGGAGGCGUUACUCGCAGAAGAAGCCCCGGCUAACUCCGUGCCAGCAGCCGCGGUAAUACGGAGGGUGCAAGCGUUAAUCGGAAUUACUGGGCGUAAAGCGCACGCAGGCGGUUUGUUAAGUCAGAUGUGAAAUCCCCGGGCUUAACUUGGGAACUGCAUUUGAAACUGGCAAGCUAGAGUCUUGUAGAGGGGAGUAGAAUUCCAGGUGUAGCGGUGAAAUGCGUAGAGAUCUGGAGGAAUACCGGUGGCGAAGGCGGCCCCCUGGACAAGCUGACGCUCAGGUGCGAAAGCGUGGGGAGCAAACAGGAUUAGAUACCCCAGUAGUC